rnacentral:lncRNA from 1 species
GGAAGGAGGUCUGUCAAAAUCUGCAUCUACGAAGUUGUCUAGUUCAUCAAUAAAAACAAAUAUAGUUAGGUCAGUGCACUGUGCAUAGUGGUGGAUUUUCCUUGAACUUUCUUAAUUCAUUCUUCAUUAAACAUUUUCUAAUUAUUUUAUAGGUUUCUAACAAUGGAGGACUCCUUUUUGCUCGAAAAUCGAGCUACUUUAAGGGCAAUUCUAAUUAUUUAUAGGUUUCUAACGAUGGAGGACUCCUUUUUGCUCGAAAAUCGAGUAACUUUAAGGGCAAUGUGAGUCUCUUGGUUGUUUCCAGUAUGCAGGAUGCAUUUUUCUCCUCAUACUAACCAGUUUCUCUUUCAAUCUCAUACAGGUCCGAAUUUGGGGGAAUCCUUUUUUAUUUCUAUAUCUGUGAUCGCACAAAUUUCUUCGCAGAUUCUAAUAAGGUUCAUUAUCUUUUAACUUAAAAAUAAUGCAUCAUGAUAUGCUUGCUAGAUCAUGAUUUUGAGUAACCUCAUGGACAAUGGCGCAUGAGCAUUUUGUGGUGCACCUAGAGUAAUGUGUUCUCUGCAUACUGUGUUAAAUAUACACAGCCAGUUCAGCCUAAAUGAUUUGUUUCUUUGGAAUCUUGGCCGUUAUCCACCCCUGUAUGUGAUAUCCUGAUUGAACUGUUGGAUGUGGAAAUUGUGCUGUGUAACUUUUGUCUUAAUGUUGUUUCAAAAUGUUUUAUCAAAAUUUUAGCAUGCUUUGCUCCAAAGGAACUAAUUUUAUAUUAUUCUAGAGAAGAUGUACUAGCAUAUAUAUGAUAUGCAUGCUAAUGUGUAACCUCGUUCGUACUUUCUAGAAAUUUUGGAUCUUGUCUACUAUAAUUGGUUUAUUUUUGAAACUUCAAAUUUUCCAUGUUUAACUGUUUUACCACAUGCUUCAGACUCACUCUUGAUAAAUUGUUGUUUUCUUUGCUUUCUUGUGCCCAUCCCGUUAGUUUUGUAUGUAGUUCUUGGUAUUGAGAGUUUAGUACAGGAUCUGCAUUGGUAGUUGACUAGAAUGAAGGACAUGAUGUCCAAUGAUUUCUGCAUCGUUUACUGGAUUAUACUUAAAGUAUGCCAUCUCCAUUGUGGAAUUAUAAGAGGUUUAUUUGCAACCCCGCAAGUGCAGCUGCUCAAAGUAACUAUUUGCUGUUUGAUAUUGUUUUCCUUGAUCAGAGCUACAAUCGGGACCUCUUCCUCUUUCUGUAUUGUCUUCUGAUCAUAGUUUCAGCAAUGACUUCUUUCAAGAAACACAAUGACAAAUCAGCAUUUUCUGGAAAAUCCUUGCUUUAUCUUAACCGUCACCAGACAGAGGAGUGGAAAGGGUGGAUGCAGGCAAGUGUUUUCUGUCACUUUUUUCUUGAUCUACUUAUUCUUCAGUUUUGUAAGAAGUAAAUCUGGACAGUUCUUUAGGGAAAUACCUUCCACUUGCACCCUUUGUUCCUCUGUCUCUCCAGUGAAUGUGUUACAACAUAGUUGCUUGAUUCUUGCGCAACUUCUUUGUUCAAUGUGUGAUAUUAAGAAGCAGUAAAUCAUGCAGAAUCUCUUUUGAAUGCUUAGAAUUUGUCUAUUCAAGUAUCUCCAAAACUUUAGAAAAAGAAGUAUCCCAACAUUUCAUGUGUAUAUUUUAAUUUCCUGUAUAUUUGAACUGCUCUUUGCAUAGACUCCUACAGUAUAUGAUGUUCUCCGCAUUUGCACAGUCUAAAUAAUCUAUCCUUUUGUUUGCAACAGGUCCUCUUUUUGAUGUAUCAUUAUUUUGCUGCAACAGAGAUAUACAAUGCCAUUCGUGUUUUCAUUGCUGCAUAUGUUUGGAUGACUGGUUUUGGGAACUUCUCCUAUUAUUACAUCAGAAAAGAUUUUAGUUUGGCUCGGUUUGCUCAGGUAACACUAUCUGUUAAUACUGUAUUACCUUAAAUCAGAAGACUCUUGGGGUAUCUUACAUUUCUUAGGUUCAGUGUUGUUAAUAUGGUAAACAGUAUUACCUUAAAUCAGAAGACUCUUUGUGGUAUCUUACAUUUCCUAUGUUCAGUGUUGUUAAUAUGGUAAACAUUGUCCUGUGUGCAGAUGAUGUGGAGGCUGAAUUUCUUUGUAAUAUUUUGUUGUGUUGUCCUUAACAAUGACUAUAUGCUGUAUUACAUCUGCCC